CCUACGGGGGGCUGCAGUGGGGAAUAUUGGACAAUGGGGGCAACCCUGAUCCAGCCAUGCCGCGUGUGUGAAGAAGGCCCUCGGGUUGUAAAGCACUUUCAGUGAGGAAGAACGCCUGGUGGUUAAUACCCAUCAGGAAAGACAUCACUCACAGAAGAAGCACCGGCUAACUCCGUGCCAGCAGCCGCGGUAAUACGGAGGGUGCGAGCGUUAAUCGGAAUUACUGGGCGUAAAGCGCGCGUAGGUGGCUUGAUAAGCCGGUUGUGAAAGCCCCGGGCUCAACCUGGGAACGGCAUCCGGAGCUGUCAAGCUAGAGUGCAGGAGAGGAAGGUAGAAUUCCCGGUGUAGCGGUGAAAUGCGUAGAGAUCGGGAGGAAUACCAGUGGCGAAGGCGGCCUUCUGGACUGACACUGACACUGAGGUGCGAAAGCGUGGGUAGCAAACAGGAUUAGAUACCCCUGUAGUC
rnacentral:rRNA from 1 species